GACAUACACCUUAGAUACAUUCUGAUCAACAUAUGGGGCGAAGUAUACUGAAAAAACGCAUAUGACUGAAUAUAAUAAGUUGGAGGAAGACUCUGCGAUAUGAUUGGUGGUUACCGUUCAAAGGCGGGUUUAAAGACGAUGGAGCAAUUUCACUGGUUGAGGGAACGUUGCCCUUACAAAACCGGAAACAGAUCUAACCUUGACAAGGAAACAUCUCACGUGUAGCUCUAGUCAGGUUCUCAGUUAUUCGUUAAAAAUAUUCUGCGACCAGUAACGGCGAUACUGGCUGGUGUCAGGCACGAAAUGCCUUGCUCAAAAGAUGACGGUUUGGCCACUGAGUGCUUACGGGACCCCGUCCAUUCAUGCAUGGAGACUGGGAACUGUCAUACUGACUGACUGGAUCUACUUGAGUUCACGGGAUCACCGUCUGGUAUGUCAACAUGAGGAACCCAUGCCGAUUUAUCAUUCGAAACUAUAGUGUGGUACCAAGGUUGUCUACACGUUUAUUUGCACAAUGCCAUGUCCCUCAAGCCGGUCCACAGAGGUUGGAUGUGGGGCACAUGAGCACAUACCAAGGCUAUCCACACAGGUUGGAUGUCAGGCACAUGAGCACACACCCCCCCAGCGAUGAAGAGCAUUUCUUCAUCACUACCCCCAUCUUCUAUGUCAACGCAUCCCCGCAUCUAGGACAUUUGUAUUCGGCCGUGACUGCAGACUGUUUGCACAGAUACAAACUACUUCAAGGCUUCAAGUCAAAGUUUUCUACAGGCACCGACGAGCACGGCCUGAAAAUCCAACAGGCAGCCGAAUCUGCAGGCAAAGAUCCGCUCAUCUUCUGCACCGAUGUGUCUGAAAGAUUUAAACGUCUAUUCGUCCAAUGUAACAUCUCGUACACGGACUACAUCAGGACCAGCGACCCGGUUCACCGGCGGGCUGUGGAGAGGUUUUGGACAGUGCUGCAGGACAAAGGGCUCAUCUACAAGGGGAGCUAUGAGGGUUGGUACUCGAUGCAGGACGAGAGCUUCCUCACGCCGUCACAGGUGGCCGACGCCUUGGACUCCUCAGGAAAGGACAUCAAGAUCUCCCUAGACAGUGGGCACAAGGUGGAGUGGAUGAAGGAGGAGAACUACAUGUUCCGUCUGUCGGCGUUCCGCCGCCCGCUGCUGGCCUGGCUGAGGGGGAACCCCGGCGCCAUCCAGCCGGAGCGCUUCUACCAGGACGUCCUCCAGUGGCUGCAGGAGGAGCUGCCGGACCUCUCGGUGUCCCGCCAGAGGAGCCGACUCCAGUGGGGGGUCCCGGUCCCGGGCGACCCCCAGCAGACCGUCUACGUCUGGCUGGACGCCCUGGUCAACUACCUGACCGUGGCCGGCUACCCCGACGCCCACGCGCAGUGGUGGAGCUCCGCCCACCACGUCAUAGGGAAGGACAUUUUAAAGUUCCACGCCAUCUAUUGGCCGGCUUUUCUCUUGGGGGCGGGGCUACCGCCGCCACGGACGAUCUGCGUGCACUCCCAUUGGACGGUGGGGGGUAAAAAAAUGUCCAAGAGCGUGGGCAACGUGGUCGACCCUGUGGAGAAGUCUGGGCGGUUCGGCACGGACGGCCUGAGGUACUUCCUCCUGCGGCAGGGCGUGCCGGACUCGGACUGCGACUACAACGACGCCAAGGUGCUGAAGGUGCUGAACGCCGAGCUGGCCGACUCGCUGGGCGGCCUGCUGAACCGGUGCACGGCGCCCGCCCUCAACCCCGCGCAGCGCUACCCGCCCUUCUGCCCGGAGCUGUUCGCGGCCGGCUCCGGGGGCAGGGCGACGGCGGACGACCGGCGCCUUCUGGAGGCGGUGCGCGGGCUCCCCGCCGUGGUGGGGCGCCACUACGAGACCCUGCACGCGUACAAGGCGCUGGAGGCCGUCGGCGGCUGCGUGCGGCUCACCAACGGCUUCGUGCAACGCCACGCGCCCUGGAAGCUGGACCGGGGCGACGAGGGCGACCGUCGCUGGCUGGACACCCUCCUCCACGUGGCGCUGGAGUGCCUGAGGACGUACGGCCUGCUGCUGCAGCCCGCCGUGCCGGAGACUGCCGACCGGCUGCUGUGCCGGCUGGGGGUGGGUCCGGGCGAGAGGAGCUGGAGCGCGCUCUCCUUUCUGCCCAGGGCCCGAGGGAUGGCCUGCCCCUUCGAGGGGAGGGCUCUGGGGGCUGAUUGUGGAGUGCUUUUCAGCCGCCUGGAGCCUUUGGACUCGGACGACCGAAAGCCUAAGAGAACUUUGAAACAUGCAUGAUUUUGCAUGUUUGAUAAUAAUUAAACGUGCAUAAUCAUGUUGUAACUGGCAAUUUGGUUUCACUUAAGUGUGUCUCCAUGUGCAAAUUUGUACUAUUUUGACUCGUGAAAUAAAGGCUAAAUUAAUUGAGACUAAGAUGGUAUUGGGGAUUCAGCUGAAGAUAAGUGAUAAGUGUUGCAAUAUUUCAUUGUGCAUUUCAUCAGAAGGCAUACAAUAAAAGCACAUUCAACUGACAUGAUAUUGUUUAAGGAGAAAUACACCAAACUUAAAAAGUCGAAUAAAAAUAUAUUUGAAUUAUUGUUAAAUUAGUGCCUCAUCCGCUCGUGCUCACAGCGGGAAAACAGAUGUCCAAAUGUUGUUGUUUACCGCAAAGUCACACGUGAAGACGGUCCGUAAUCGGUAAAAGGAAAUUGUCAAGUAGCCUACCUAUUAUUAAAUUGAAUAGGAUUAUUUCAUGCAAGAAAAAAACAUAAUGGUUGAGAUAUUUGGGAGCAUUUGUAAGUGUUAAACCAUUCAACAGGCGACCCAACAACCAACUUCAUUCCAGAGAGGGAGAGGAGAGAAUGAUUAAUACUCAUACGGCCUGCAGCAGGCGACCAACGCAGGAACCCAGAACGAGAAAACAUCUUCAUCAGUAUUCGCCCCUAGACCGGCGCCACCUCUUCCACCAACACCGGGUUGUAGCCGCGGUCUGCGCUGCCUCGUGAGAGGAACGGUCCUCUGGUGGACGGCGGCCGCGGCACCAGGAAGCAAUAGAGAUGUCUUUCGCCAAGAUAAGGAUUACGCCGUCGCAGCAGUCGGUCCUGCGGUGGCAGCCUUCACCGCCGCCAUGGGGCCACGCGGGCCCCAGGCUACCGCCAGGGCCAAGAGGCCGGAGGAGGUGGAGAAGGAGGCCCGAGUUGUUUGCUGUAUAUAUUUAUCAUUUUGCAGGGCUAGUUUAUAUAGUUCUUUGUUUUGUUGUUCAGUGCAUACACACAGCCAAUUUAUUUAUAUAUAUAGUAUUUGAAUGAAUAAAAUAAAAUAUAUUCUCCU